UUUUAGGGAGACCAUCUGAAAAACUACCGAACCUAAACAAGAAGUAGCAAUCAGUAUCCCUGGUCGUUCGAGAAAUAGAUGUCAAAGCUUUCAAACUAUUAACUGGUUCGGGAAAUGGGCUAUUAGCUCAGUUGGUUAGAGCGCACCCCUGAUAAGGGUGAGGUCCCUGGUUCAAAUCCAGGAUGGCCCACCUGGAAAAGAGUGAUAAAUUUGAAGUAAUGAGUCAGGAAUAAAAAUUCAGGAUUCAUGGGUUCAAAAAUGACGCACUUGCUUAGUGGGGGUAUAGCUCAGUUGGUAGAGCGCCUGCCUUGCACGCAGGAAGUCAGCGGUUCGAGUCCGCUUACCUCCACUCUCAUUAUAGAUAACCGCUCGACUAAGCAACCAGAACAAAAAAAGAGAAGAGAAAUCAGCACCCAGACUCUUACAAGAAAGUCGGAAUGCUGGAGUCUAGAACUCUAGUCAGAACCUUGAAAACUGCAUAGAAAUUAAGUCAUCAUCAAGCUUAGUAAGUAAUCCGAUGCGUCGGAAAAUCUGAGAAGCAGACCACCAUCAAAGAAGAA
rnacentral:tRNA from 1 species